UGGGGAAUAUUGCACAAUGGAGGGAACUCUGAUGCAGCGACGCCGCGUGAACCAAGAAGGCUUUCGAGUCGUAAAGUUCUUUUAUAUGGGAAGAUAAUGACGGUACCAUAAGAAAAAGCCCCGGCUAACUACGUGCCAGCAGCCGCGGUAAUACGUAGGGGGCUAGCGUUGUCCGGAAUCACUGGGCGUAAAGGGUUCGCAGGCGGAAAUGCAAGUCAGGUGUAAAAGGCAGUAGCUUAACUACUGUAAGCAUUUGAAACUGCAUAUCUUGAGAAGAGUAGAGGUAAGUGGAAUUUUUAGUGUAGCGGUGAAAUGCGUAGAUAUUAAAAAGAAUACCGGUGGCGAAGGCGACUUACUGGGCUCAUUCUGACGCUGAGGAACGAAAGCGUGGGUAGCAAACAGG
rnacentral:rRNA from 1 species